rnacentral:tRNA from 1 species
UGUGAUGUCUAAAUGAUUUAUUUUUAGGCCAUAAUCCUGUCACCUUAGGUCGAUCGGUACCUCAGUUUGAUUUCAAUAAACUAAAAAAUUUAGUUUUAAACGUUAUUAAAUUCAGUUCCUAAACUUUGUCUAGGUCACACCCAACAAGGGUACUCCUGGGCCAUUAGCUCAGGUGGUUAGAGCGCACCCCUGAUAAGGGUGAGGUCCCUGGUUCAAGUCCAGGAUGGCCCAUUCGGUGUUGGGGGUAUAGCUCAGUUGGUAGAGCGCCUGCUUUGCAAGCAGGAUGUCAGCGGUUCGAGUCCGCUUACCUCCACUGAUCCACCUCCUUCUAACGAAGCUUGAGGAGACUUUUGUUUAAUGUGAUCUAGAUUUGUUCUGAGAGAAUGAACCUAGCUUCUUAUCAAAAAUACUAAUCAAUUUAUCUUUGAUUGAUUUAAUGAUAGGACGCUGGGCUCACUGCAAAUUACAUUGCAGAGUUCUUCAGUAGAACCUUGACAACUGCAUAGGUGAAGUCUGAAAAAAAUAAAGCAUCUCAUGGAUGCAUUAUUUUGAUUAAUAGUUUAAGUUCUAAUACUUUUAGAAUUUGAAUUUAUUUCAAUUUUAAUGCUAAUUCUUGAGCAAGAGCCGAGACUCUAUAAAU